rnacentral:rRNA from 1 species
AGAGUUUGAUCAUGGCUCAGGACGAACGCUGGCGGCGUGCUUAACACAUGCAAGUCGAACGGGAUCCAUACGUUGGAGUCUUCGGACGAAGAUGUAUGGUGAGAGUGGCGGACGGGCGAGUAACGCGUGAGCAACCUGCCCUAUGCAGGGGGAUAACACCGGGAAACUGGUGCUAAUACCGCAUAAGACCACACUGGCACAUGUCAGAGUGGUAAAAGCUCCGGCGGCAUAGGAUGGGCUCGCGUCCAAUUAGCUUGUUGGUAGGGUAACGGCCUACCAAGGCGACGAUUGGUAGCCGAACUGAGAGGUUGGUCGGCCGCAUUGGGACUGAGACACGGCCCAGACUCCUACGGGAGGCAGCAGUGGGGAAUAUUGCGCAAUGGGGGAAACCCUGACGCAGCGACGCCGCGUGAAGGAAGAAGGCCUUCGGGUUGUAAACUUCUUUGGUCGGGGACGAAGAUGACGGUACCCGAAUAACGAGCCACGGCUAACUACGUGCCAGCAGCCGCGGUAAUACGUAGGUGGCGAGCGUUGUCCGGAAUUACUGGGUGUAAAGGGCGUGUAGGCGGGGUGCCAAGUCAGGUGUGAAAUUCCGAGGCUUAACUUCGGGUGUGCAUCUGAAACUGGUGCUCUUGAGUGUCGGAGAGGAAAGUGGAAUUCCCAGUGUAGCGGUGAAAUGCGUAGAGAUUGGGAGGAACACCAGUGGCGAAGGCGGCUUUCUGGACGACAACUGACGCUGAGGCGCGAAAGCGUGGGGGAGCAAACAGGAUUAGAUACCCUGGUAGUCCACGCCGUAAACGAUGGAUACUAGGUGUAGGAGGUAUCGACCCCUUCUGUGCCGGAGUUAACACAAUAAGUAUCCCACCUGGGGAGUACGGCCGCAAGGCUGAAACUCAAAUGAAUUGACGG